UACAGAGGGGGCAAGCGUUGUUCGGAAUUACUGGGCGUAAAGGGCGCGUAGGCGGCCUGUUAAGUCGAACGUGAAAUCCCCGGGCUCAACCCGGGAACUGCGUCCGAUACUGGCAGGCUUGAAUCCGGGAGAGGGAUGCGGAAUUCCAGGUGUAGCGGUGAAAUGCGUAGAUAUCUGGAGGAACACCGGUGGCGAAGGCGGCUCACUGGCCCGAUACUGACGCUGAGGCACGAAAGCGUGGGGAGC
rnacentral:rRNA from 1 species